rnacentral:rRNA from 1 species
CGCGGCCUAUCAGCUUGUUGGUGGGGUAAUGGCCUACCAAGGCUUCGACGGGUAGCCGGCCUGAGAGGGUGACCGGCCACACUGGGACUGAGACACGGCCCAGACUCCUACGGGAGGCAGCAGUGGGGAAUAUUGGACAAUGGGCGGAAGCCUGAUCCAGCAACGCCGCGUGAGGGAUGACGGCCUUCGGGUUGUAAACCUCUUUCAGUACCGACGAAGCGCGAGUGACGGUAGGUACAGAAGAAGCACCGGCCAACUACGUGCCAGCAGCCGCGGUAAUACGUAGGGUGCGAGCGUUGUCCGGAAUUAUUGGGCGUAAAGGGCUCGUAGGCGGUUUGUCGCGUCGGGAGUGAAAACACCGGGCUUAACUCGGUGCUUGCUUUCGAUACGGGCAGACUAGAGGUAUGCAGGGGAGAACGGAAUUCCUGGUGUAGCGGUGAAAUGCGCAGAUAUCAGGAGGAACACCGGUGGCGAAGGCGGUUCUCUGGGCAUUACCUGACGCUGAGGAGCGAAAGUGUGGGGAGCGAACAGGAUUAGAUACCCUGGUAGUCCACACCGUAAACGUUGGGCGCUAGGUGUGGGGCCUAUUCCAUGGGUUCCGUGCCGCAGCUAACGCAUUAAGCGCCCCGCCUGGGGAGUACGG